rnacentral:lncRNA from 1 species
CCAAUUUCCAUUGUAGUCAUUAAAAUAUGCUCAAAAGCAGAACUAGUAACAGCCUCAAACUCAGCCAUCCCAGUAACCACAACUUGUGGCCGUAACUUCUUUAUCAGCUCUAUCAUUAAAUCUGAUUGGCGUGGUGCUUCUAUAACUGUAAUUCCACUUGCACACGAAUUAUCAUUCUCGUUAUGCUGAAAUUUUUAAUCCCAAAUUGUUAUUAUAUAUUGAAGUAAAUGUUUAAAAGUUAUUAUUAUAUUUAUUAUACCUCCAUCUGAAGUGAAGUUAACCAUUGCCUGGGUAGGUGUCUGCUAAGAUGAUCAUCAACAAUGGCAAGACGGGGAGUAAACAAUUGCAGAGCAUUCUCAAUUGCUGUAGCUCGUGAAGGAAACACAACAACAUUCUUGCAACAAGGUUAACAAUGAACAAGUCAGGAAUGCAAGUUAUUUCU